GGUCGGAUGGCCGAGAGGCGAGGCUCGGGACUGCAAAUCCCGCUACACGGGUUCAAAUCCCGUUCCGACCUCCA
rnacentral:tRNA from 14 species